AAUGAGGGCGGGAUGACUAUGGGAGAAAAGGCUGGUGUGAACCUGGGGAUCCCAAAAGAAACUCAGUCUCCAAGAUGCACAGGCUGUUUCCUCAGAUUAUAAGGAAGGUUUCUUAUGAGUCUAAGAGCAGAAAGGAGAAAGGAAGAGAGAUAGAGAAGAACAAGCCUGAGCCAGACUUGGAGAUGAAGCUGGGGAGGAUCCUGGGAGGCCCGCGCCGCACCACACAAAUGCUGGAGACCUCGUCCAUUCAGACAGUGAUUAUUCCAAAUGAGAGAUGAUUCGAAGGCCUGAGGAAGUUGGUUGUUCUCAGAAAAGGAAGAGGGCAUGUAGAGGCACAACGGCAAAGGUGCAUUUAAGCUGCUUCAAGGAGCUUCUAAGCCUCCUUCUGGGGAUGCCCGUGCAUGGAUCACAACCCCGGGAAUGGGCCACUAUGGGCAGAGAAAAAGGACACCACUCUGCCGAGAGGGACUUCAAGUUGAACAGAGAAGGGAAUCCUAGCCACAAUAUCCUAGAGGCCACGUGGUUUAUGAAGCCUGGAUUUCAAAUCCCAGCUCCUUUACACUCACCCCAGCAGCAGCGUCCUGGGUAAAUGGCUUAAAUGUCUUCUUUUCUGCGUCUCAUUUUCUUCCUUUGCAAAAAGGACAUAACGAUGCUGACCUCAUAGAUACUGACCCCAUAAAAUGGUCUUGAGGACUAAAUGAGCUUCUACACAUAAAGAAAGGGCUUAGCACAUGGUGAACCCUCAAUACAGGUUGCCAUUCCCACUCUAUUGUUGUUUGGCUGAUGCAGAAAAGCAGAGGCUGUUAUUCACACACUGACC
rnacentral:lncRNA from 10 species